rnacentral:lncRNA from 1 species
UGCUAUUGUGUCAGUCUUCACCAUGUGACCAUGUCCCUACACACAUUUCCCAUGUACAUACAUUUCCAUGUCUCACAAUUCUACAUUCAAUGAUCAUCACCUAAUAAUAACUCAUACAUAUUCAUCAUGACUAAAUAGUUAAAGAUUCCUAUGAGCAAUCUUUGUAAGGUAGAAUAAUCAUGCACAUCAAAAGAAAUUAAUUCUUAUCUAAAAAGAUGGGAAAAUACAUACAAAAAAACAAUAGAAUUGAAGUCUGAGUCCUUUAUUUCAUAAGAUUAAAAUAAAAAUAAAAUAAGACUACAUAAUGUUAGUUGUAAUUAAGUGCAUAUAGUCAUAGCAUUGGACUCAAAUAAUAAAGGUGUGAAACCUAUAGAUAUUAUUACAAUUAUUUUUGAAAGUGAAGUUGUUUCUCUAGUUUAGUCAACAUCCCAAGCCCUUUUAUCUUGGUAUCAACAGCAUUAACAUAGCCAGCAAUGUUCAUUUCAGUCAGAGUACAAUGCCCUUGACUGCGACCCGGUACUGUUGAACAUGGAUUUUUUUGAGAACUCUUCACUGGGCCUCUUUGUAGUGAUUGGAUCAUUACAUAAUUCUUCCUCUGCUGCAACCAUUGCUCUCCCUCUAAUGUUCUUGCUUCACAUACUUUGUGUAAACCCAAUAGCAUAAUUAUUGUGAGCACACACAUAAUCUUCAUGUAAUUAUAGUAACCCAUUUUGUAUGAUGAGGGAAUAAUCAAACUUGAGGGAACACUUUGAUGGAUGUGGUUGAUUGAGUUUAUCACCUUUUUUUUAUCCUAACCGACUUGAAUUUAGAUGGAUGAAAGUAGAAAAGAAGAGAAAGAUUGAAGAUUAUGGAAGGUGAUG